rnacentral:lncRNA from 1 species
UGUACGAAGUAUGAAGCGAGAAGCACAGAAGAUGGGCCUUAAUAUCGAAUCAAGCCCAAUCCGAGAAGGCCCGAGUCAAGGCGCGCCAAAUACAGACAGAGUCAAACGUUCGAAACAGAGUUGCAAGAGUACGGUCUUGAAGCAGACAGAGCCAGCUGGUGAAGUGGUCCUGCACAACUCCUUUAUGCCGUUGUGCGUGUGAAUCAAACGGUUGGAAUGAAGCCACUUGUGAGGAGAUUACCAUAGGGUCUCUAGGGCUUUCAUAAAACCCUAAUAGUAUUUAAAGUUGUAAAGGUUCAACCUUUGUAAGUAAGUUUUGAGGAAAUAAGAGAAAGUUAUUUCAGAUCUUCAA